rnacentral:lncRNA from 1 species
UUGAGUGGUUUCACUUCCAAAGGUUAACGAAAAAUUAUUUUAUUAAUUUUGAUUAUUUUAGUAAGUUUUUUUGUGAAAUUUUUGUUUAAUUUAUUGUUUUUUGAAAUGAUUUGUUUGUUAAGCAGGGUGUAGUAGUUGAUUUUAAGAAUCAAAUACUGCGGUUGCAAAAGGAAAAUCAAAUUCUUAAUGUGAAGGUGCAAAAGUGAACUCUAUAAUUUUCUACGUAUUUUUCAUGUCUUCAAUUUUUAUUUUAGCAUUUACAAUUAUUUCAAAUUGUUUAUAGUUAUUUUGAAUUUUUUUUGUUUUUUUACAGAAUGAUGAACUUGAGUCUCUUCCCUAGAAGAAUCAUUGGAUUGAGUAAAGUUUUUUAUUUUAUUUUGCAUUGUGGUUGUAUAUUGAUAUUGAUUGAGUAAAGUUUUAUUUUCAUUUUUUUGUGUUGUAUGUGUAUUUAAUAAUAAUGUGCUAUAUCAUUCCUUAAACACAAAGAAUGUAGAAUAACAUAUUUUAACAAUAAAAUAACAGAUUUUGACAAACUGAAGUUUAGCCAAAAAAUUAACUGACUCAAGAUAAGUAAUUGCGCAUAACGGAA